rnacentral:tRNA from 1 species
UGUUCUGUAGCUUAGUUGGUUAAAGCGCUAGUCUAGCGUGAGUUGGAAUCUCACUAGAACGC